rnacentral:rRNA from 1 species
CCUACGGGAGGCAGCAGUCGAGAAUCAUGCACAAUGGGGGAAACCCUGAUGGAGCGACGCCGCGUGGGGGAAUGAAGGUCUUCGGAUUGUAAACCCCUGUCAUGUGGGAGCAAAUUAAAAAGAUAGUACCACAAGAGGAAGAGACGGCUAACUCUGUGCCAGCAGCCGCGGUAAUACAGAGGUCUCAAGCGUUGUUCGGAAUCACUGGGCGUAAAGCGUGCGUAGGCUGUUUCGUAAGGCGUGUGUGAAAGGCGCGGGCUCAACCCGCGGACGGCACAUGAUACUGCGAGACUAGAGUAAUGGAGGGGGAACCGGAAUGCUCGGUGUAGCAGUGAAAUGCGUAGAUAUCGAGAGGAACACUCGUGGCGAAGGCGGGUUCCUGGACAUUAACUGACGCUGAGGCACGAAGGCCAGGGGAGCGAAAAGGAUUAGAUACCCUAGUAGUC